CGAUCCGAGGACCCUGGGAUCACGAGCCGAAGACAGACGCUUAAUGACUGAGCCACCCAGGCGCCCCACGGCAGAGUCCACUUUUGAGAGCUCCAGAAAUCGUCAAAACCUUCCAGCGACCAGAGGGAGAAGCUGAUGCUUUGCGGUCUUUUGUUUUCCACAGACCAAACUGACCAAACAGUGAUUUGAGAAAAAAACAAAAAAACACCACCAUGUAUCUUUUUGAAAGAUCUCCGGGACAGAGCUGGCCCAGCCCGGCCCCACAGCCUGCCAACCUCAGGGGACAGUCGAACGCCGGCACCUCAACCCGGAGAAAACUAAAGAAGCAGAGUUCAGCUGCAGGAAUUCUUAAUGAUGUGCAGAGGACCUGUCUUGAGCCUGUCUGUGAAAUACUAGAAAGACACAUGUACGCAUCUUCUCCGCCUCUCCUCACGUGACCGUCCCCGACCGUCCCCGACCCAGGGUGGCCGGACUGGAACCCACGCACAGGGACCUCGCUCAGCAGCAGCUGAAGCCCAAGGUAUGAACUGAGCCCCCAGAAUCCCAUCCCGGUGACUCCCAUGAUCCUACUGGGGUCCAGAAUGACCAUUCUCGCUCUCACAUUCGACCGAUAAGCUAGCUUACGCUCAGCAUCUCAAGGGAAACUGAAUCCAGGCAUCUUAGAAAGUGGCACAAGCCGGCGGGGCGUCCAGGUGAGGGGGCUGGAGCCGUGUUGGUGAAGCCCUUGUGCGCACAGCAUACUGACCUUGCUGCCAGAAGGUGGAAGCCGAGACACGGGGGAACGGUAGACUGUCCCCCCAAAGACAGGCCGAAUGCUGCUGUUGGCCGUGGCAUUGGACAUGACGGUCGUGUUCAGCUGCGGAGAAGGGGAGAAGAGAACACACCGAACACGCUCAGUAGCCUGCCCGGCACCACAGAGGAAGGAACAGAGGAAAAAGUCCAAGAUGGGUUUCCAAGGCUCAGAGCUUUGAGGAGACCUGUGCUCCACCAUCAACACGGGGCUUGAACUCCCGGCCUGGGAUCAAGAGCCGCAGGUUCCACGGACGGAGCCAGCCGGGCGCCCCUGCAGGUGACUCUUAAACUAUCGUAUGUUGUAAAAUACGAGCCGAGAAGUAAAGCUCUACUUCGUUUAUCAAAGACAAGGUCACGUUCCUCCCUGACUUCUGCUCCAGCGAUGGAAGAAUACUGGAUAUUCCAUUUACUAAACUUGCGGUCCGGGGCCCCCAAGUUUAACCCACCCCAGACCCCGACAACAGGCACACACCUGCACUGGCCAGGCCGUGACUGUCGCUAUCAAGUUGCUACCGGGGUAAGGGUUGUCUUCCGUUCAUACGUUUAGAGGAACCUCCCGGAAGGCCCAAGAAACCCUUCCCCUCUGUGGGGCAGGAGGCAAGAGGUGGCCAAGAGCCGUCGCCUCGAGAGCCCCGUAAGGGCGGUUCGCAGAGCCCCGCGCUCACCUUGCGCACUU